rnacentral:lncRNA from 1 species
CCUGGGAGCAGCCCCGUCACUGUGUACUUGUUGCUGAAGACACGCUCGGCUGCCGUGUACCAGGUGGCUGUGCUUGCAUCCCGCUUCAUGAUGAUGUAGUGAGCCUCACCGUCCUCCUGCACAUCUGGGCUGUGGUUCCAGGUCAGAGUCACUGUGUUGGGGACUUCCUCAAACAACCGUAGGUUUGUGGGGGGCCGAGGGAAAUCUGGAAGAGUUGGAAGAUCUGUCAGCGACCUUGGGGCACCUGAAGUAUUAUGUCCCCACCCCAGCCAUCUGCCAAGUCCGAUGGAAGAUAAGAUGGGGCAAGUCUCAGGCAGCUGGUGUCUUGGAGUCGGAAAACUAUUUCUGAAGUCUGCUCUGCCAUUUACUAGCCUCGUGACCUGGGGCCAUACAGACAUCUAGCUGCCCUGCAACCCUGUGAAGCAUUUAUUUGUUUUCUCAUCUGUCUCCUUCUACUAGUACGCAAGACCCUGGAAGGCAAGUCCUUGUGUCUUGUUUCUAUAACCCUAACACCUCCUUUUGAAAUUGCCAUUGCAACAAUUAUAACAGCGAGAAAAUUAUGACAGUGAACGAGAUCUGAUCUAACCAACCCCCAUCUUGCCUUUACCCUCCAAACUGCCCUUAAUCAUUCCUGGUUUCAGACCAAGCUAAUGUUGGGAGAGACAUUUAGUUUAUAGCUUAGAUGAUAACAGUCUUCCCCCAAACUAAAUCACCUUUGCGAAGCUAAUGAAAGGCCACCAGGUUAGGAGGAUGUGAGGAGCCUGAAUUCUGCUAAGGUGUAGACAUAAAAGAUUACCAGCCAUUAUUCCAGAGAUCACAAGAUUUGCAACUCCCCAGCUGCUCCUGCAAAUAACAUCACUAUUGUAGAGCCUAAGAUUGGUGGUUGAGAUGUCUUUUCAGGUUUUUGCAUUUCUGACGACUGAUGGCUCCACCUGGACCUGCUCUCCCUCCACCCCACAAGUCCUGAGGCCCCAG